UUGGUCCGGUUGGAAAGCUUCUUGGACUGGAAGUAACCUGCGUUAUUUCCAUGCUGGCUAUAGUCAUGUUAAAACUAACCUCCCCCUUCUCGCUCGGCCAAUAUUAAGAGGGGGCUUAACUGGAAGUACUCGGAAUAUUCAAAGCUGCUUGUGGAUCCAGGUAUAUGCAUGGGUUCCAGGUAUUACGUGGAACUAUGUUUUUAAGGAGAUGGAGCCUAGUUGUAAGCAGCCCUCGCAGGCAAUUCGGAAAUCACUUAGGUGAAAUGUAAGACCUGAAUGGUUUGCAAAGCCAGUGGUAAAUCAAUUUUUUUACAUAGCUUUUGUCUACGUUAAGCACGUAAUUAACACCCCCAAACAAGUUUAUUCACCUGGCCUAAUUGUCUGUUUAUCCUCCAGCUUCUAAUGCUCCUCUCUUAACGAUAACCAGCGGGAGGCAAGUUACUCAAUGCCGACUAAACAUUAGCUCGAUCUUUGUUUAUUUGCCGCACAACCCCGACUUGACAAUGCAAGCAGGAGUUAGAAAUAACACUAAACUGACAGCAACAAAUAUUAAUUAACCUUGACUCGGCGUGUUAGGUUAGCAGGGAUUUAUUUAUUUGCGCCCAUUGACUCUGAACUCAAAAUGUCGAAGUUGGGCUACAUAUUUUUUUCAAUGUUCCAAGGGGGGAAAUAAACAAAGGUCUUACGUCAUAUUGUGAGAGGGGAACCGAGGAAAGACAGAGGCACUCUUUGAAAAGGUUUUAAACGGGGGGUUGUCAACGAUGAACUAAAGGGACGGGACUAUCGUGUGUGCAUUAUUUCUUGAAGGAAUCCAUUUGUCCAAGUGCAGAGGGGAAAUCCUUUCCGGAUCCUGGCUUCUCCUGAGGACAUUCCUGUUGUAUCCCUCUCAAUGAUGACCCAGAGUUCAGUUCUCCUAGGACCACUUCACCUUGGUGUCCACUUUGGCUAUUUUGUUUGGGAGCGUUCUGGUGUCUUUUAUCCUGAAUGCUUUUUGGUGUCCUGCCCGCUCAGAUAAUGAAAGAUGAGAAAUGAUGGUCUGGUUUGACAUUGGAUGAUUCACCCUCAUAGGACAGUGUGAGUCCAGAGAGUCCAGGAAUUAAUCCAACCUUACUCCCACCCACACCCCUCCCACGCCCACAUGGGGGGUGACUAAGAGGUGAGCACCCUUCCCAUCAGGCUCUUUUGUUGUCUGGGGGCUUCUGAUGAUAUCAGCACAUUGUAGCAGUGACCCCAGUAGCCAGACAAGGAAGAAUGGAGCGGCUGCACAUCAUUGUUCCCCAUCGUCACCCCGCCAUGUUUUGUCACGUUGUUUACCUUUUCUGACCAACCUUCCUAUGAACUCCUUCCUCGUAAACUCUACCCCCCCCCCCCCCUCCCCCACCCCCCAACCCUUCACUGUGUGAAAGGGUCAGCCAUGCCACGGCAAUUGUGCUAUGUGUGUGUUUGUCUUCGCGUAACCAUGUAUGCAUGUUUAGAUGUGUGAUCCUCAGAUCAGUAUGUAUCAGUUGUUAGAGAGAGGAAUAGAAUACAACAGUAGCUUUUGUGCCAGUCACCAAACACAGCCACACAAAGGGCUCUCGAAUCGAUUGUUUAUGUGAUAAUAGCACAGUCCUUAACAACUGCCACCUGGAAACACUAGCCGGCUAAUUGUGUGCCCUUCCUCCAGGCAACCGCAUUUGUACACUUGUUAUGUUAUUGACUGACAAAGAAGCAAAGGGAUAAAUGAUUAAGUAAGAGGAGGGGGGAAUUUGUUCUGCAGGAUUCUGUCUAACAAACAACUAAACUAAAUGAACUUCUGGUUCUGUAUAAUACUCACUGUAUCUGGUACAAUAAUAAUCCUAAAUGAAAUAUGAAUUCCAUUAAGGGAUUAGUCCAGUGUCAUAAAGGAACCACUUACCAACACCAAAGGUAAUUUGUAACCUUAGCAACUACUGGAAAGGAGGAUUAUCAUUGCAGUGUGGGUUGUCCUUGUGGACUUGACACCAUGGCUUUGCCCCAGUUUCAAGCAAAUGCAUGACAAAAGUUUAUAAAAUAUGGAUACAGGCUCUAUGAGAAGCAGGUAUAGAGAGGAAUUUGUUUUAUUUUUCAAUUUCUUAUGUAAAGAAAUUGACAGCUUGAGCAACAGGUCAUUGGGUCCAAAGUAUGCUACGAUGUUGAAUACUACCUAGAUAAAAGGCUGAAUUUGAUACAGGGGUGCAACUUUGGUUUUAGAAGUGGG